CCUGGCCUACGCACAUUAACACAACGGCCCUGAUCCCCACCGCAGGGACUGCGGGCUCCGCGGGCUGAAACGGGAAAUCCCCCGGCCCGGCGGCUGGAGCUGGCGGCGCAGGCGCGGGGCCGGGCGGGAGGCGGCAGCCGCGGGGCGGGAAGUCGCUGCCCGGGCGGAGGAAGCGGCCGGGGCCGAGCCCGGCGAUGGCGGCCGCGGGGCCGGCGCGGCUCCGGGUGGCGUUUGAGGACGUGGCUCUGUAUUUCACCCGGGAGGAGUGGGAGCUCUUAUCCCGGCCAGAGAAGCAGCUGUACCGGGACCAGAUGCUGAGGAAUUACCGGGCCCUUGUUUCCCUGGGCUAUUUAGGUUCCACACCAGAUUUAAUCCACAGAAUUGAGGUAGGGGAGGCAGAGCUCUGGAUCCGGGAUGCCGAGGACUCCAGGGAAAGCUCAGGGCCUGAGAGCCCCUCCCAAGGAGGUAGGAAUCGCGGGGGGGAGAUUCUUUGGCUGGGAUAGGCAGGAAGCCAGGCUGGAUGGGCACAAUGAGCCUGUCUGGGCUUGAUAUCUAUGAAUUCUGGAAAUCCUAGAAACACAGAAUUAGAAAGCACCUCAGUAAGUCAUCUAGUCCAGUCAGUCCCCUGCACUGAAGCAGGACUAAAUAUUAUCGAGUCCAUGCCUGACAUGGUCUUAAAAACUUCCCAUGAUGGAGAUUUCACAACCUCUCCAGGCACAGAUCCUACCCCAUUGACACUGAUGUUGACUAUGUUAGUCAGCCGAUCACUGCUAACUUUUUUGGUGAAAACUGAAACAAAAGAGGCAUUUAACUAUUUGGCCAUUGCUGCGUUUGCUCUUAUUGUCUUUCCCUCCAUUUAGUAAUAGGCCUAGCCUGUCCUUGUUUUCCUCUUGUUUCCCAUGUAUUUGUAAAAUGCUUUGUUUUUUCCCUUUAUAUUACUGCCUAGUUUAAUUCGCUUUUUUGCCUUGGCCUUUCUAAUUUUGUUCCUACAUGCUUGUGGGUUUGGUUUGGGUUUUUUUUGUUUGUUUUUUUUUAAUAUUCAUCCUUUGUAAUUUAACCUACUUUCCACUUCUUGUAUGACUCUUUU